GGCGCCGCGGCAGUCGGGAAAUAUUUCCAAAUAGAAAUCCCGUCGAUUAAAAUCAAUGGCUACAUGCAAGAUUUGCGGCCUGAAAGUUUGGAGAUGUGGAUUUAAAUCGGUCAGUUUCAAUACCUCGAACUUGAUAAAACAUUUGAAGACGAAACGUGAAUGAACACAACGAGUUUGAGCCUGCAAGAGCAGGACUGCUAUCCAGAGGAAGAAGGCCGCUGGACCGGAGCAACAAUCUCUGGAAUCUGUUUGCAUUUUUCACUGGUCACGUGAGUUUUCUCCAGGAACUCCAGCUUCCGACUAUACCUGGUUAUGAACGAGUUCUGUUCUUACGCUGGCGACGUAACCCGAAUUUCAGCCAUUGGGUCUGGCUGGACGGUCGCCUUGUAUGACUGAGGAGCAGACUCGUCUCAUAUGGAUAAAGGAC